AUGAAGAACUCAAAGAUAUUGUCGCCGGAGAGCAAUAUUGUCACGUCAAUUGACGGUUGAAAGUCAAAAAGGAACAUAAGCCUAACUAUUUAUCACCGUGAGGUUGAAGUCGCCGGGAAUUGAAGGGAGAAAUUUACAAAACUAUUGAUAGGGAGAAGUUUGAAAGAAACAAUCGAGAUAUAGAGAGGGAAAAGAGGAAAGAAACACUUGAUUUGGAGUAGAGAGGGGU
rnacentral:lncRNA from 1 species